GAUGCGCGUUGUUUCACUUUGUUUCUUACAUCAUGCUUCUUACAUCAUGGUGUAGUUGAGUCAGUUGAGAGUAGUGGUCAUGGUCAGUGAUAGUGGUGUAAUACUUUGCAAGUGCCGUGUUCUUACAUGUAAUAUUUUUACAUUGAAUUGGAGUAUUUUGCAUAAUAUCGGAUCUCCAUGGAUAAAAAAAACCUUAGGAAAUUGUGGAAUAAUAAUGCCAAACAUUGGUAAAUUAGAACUUUUGGUUCAACGGCUACUACCAAGAUCGUAGAGUAUAAAGGAAAUUGUGGAAUAAUAUUGCCAAACAUUGGAAACAAUACGAGAGCAAGCAUUUCAUAUUUUAUAUUUGUUGACAGACCUCGCAUAUUUUAUUUUAUAAGUUUUCUAGAAGAGGUGUAUGGGCGGUUUGUUUUAUGAACAUAUAUAAAAUAUGUUAGAUAUUUGCAGAUAUUGCUAAUUGAAGAAACUAUUACUUACUUAUGUUAAAAUUAAAAUUUUAGAAUAUACAAUCUCUAAUUAUUAUAGGCUUAAUUCUACAAAAACGUAUGUAUUUUUAACUUCAAAUAUCUUUGUAACUAAAUAUGGAAUUAGAAUUUCAUUAAAGUAAAAUUCACUUGAAAAUAAUAUCAAAGUAUUAAUUGUGUACAUGUUAAUUUUUUUUUUAACCACGUUGCGAUUGACCAUCAGUCAUUCACUGCAGUGCUUGAACAGUAAAAAUAUUCUAGAUACCGUUUGCUGUGAAUGGAUCCAGUGGUCAAUGAUAAAACAAGAUCUUCCCAUAUAUUAACAAAUUUACAUACUAUAUAAACAUAAAUACUAUAUAAACUUCCAAUCACUGCGCUUUUUUUCAAGUACUCUUUAUGCUUUUAAUACUUUUAAUGCUAAUUUAUUAAAGAUUGUAUAUAA